rnacentral:rRNA from 1 species
AGAGUUUGAUCCUGGCUCAGAGUGAACGCUGGCGGCAUGCCUAACACAUGCAAGUCGAACGGUAACAGGCCCGCAAGGGUGCUGACGAGUGGCGGACGGGUGAGGAAUACAUCGGAAUUUGCCCAGUCGUGGGGGAUAACGUAGGGAAACUUACGCUAAUACCGCAUACGACCUUACGGUGAAAGCGGGGGAUCGUAAGACCUCGCGCUAUUGGAUGAGCCGAAGUCGGAUUAGCUAGUUGGUAGGGUAACGGCCUACCAAGGCGACAAUCCGUAGCUGGUCUGAGAGGACGACCAGCCACACUGGGACUGAGACACGGCCCAGACUCCUACGGGAGGCAGCAGUGGGGAAUAUUGGACAAUGGGGGAAACCCUGAUCCAGCGACGCCGCGUGUGUGAAGAAGGCCUGCGGGUUGUAAA